rnacentral:rRNA from 1 species
UACGUAGGUUGCGAGCGUUGUCCGGAUUUACUGGGUGUAAAGGGCGUGUAGGCGGAGCUGCAAGUCAGAUGUGAAAUCCAUGGGCUUAACCCAUGAACUGCAUUUGAAACUGUAGCCCUUGAGUAUCGGAGAGGCAAGCGGAAUUCCUAGUGUAGCGGUGAAAUGCGUAGAUAUUAGGAGGAACACCAGUGGCGAAGGCGGCUUGCUGGACGACAACUGACGCUGAGGCGCGAAAGCGUGGGGAGCAAACAGG